CCCGCUGAACUUAAGCAUAUCAAUAAGCGGAGGAAAAGAAACUAACAAGGAUUCCCCUAGUAACUGCGAGUGAAGCGGGAAGAGCUCAAAUUUUGAAUCUGGCGGUGUUUGGCCGUCCGAGUUGUAAUCUAGAGAAGCGUCUUCCGCGCUGGACCGUGUACAAGUCUCCUGGAAGGGAGCGUCAUAGAGGGUGAGAAUCCCGUCUUUGACACGGACUACCAGUGCUAUGUGAUGCGCUCUCGACGAGUCGAGUUGUUUGGGAAUGCAGCUCAAAAUGGGUGCUAAAUUCCAUCUAAAGCUAAAUACAGGCGAGAGACCGAUAGCGAACAAGUACCGUGAGGGAAAGAUGAAAAGAACUUUGGAAAGACAGAUAAACAGUAUGUGAAAUUGCUGAAAGGGAAACGCUUGAUGUCAGUCACGUUGGCUAGGGAUCAACCUUGCUUCUCGCUGGGUGUAUUUCCUAGUGGACGGGUCAGCAUGAGUUUCGGUCGCUGUACAAGGGCAAAGGGAACGUGUCACUCCUUGGAGUGUGUUAUAGCCUUUCGUCGUAUGCAGUGGGUGGGACUGAGGAACUCGGCACGAAAUCUAUUUUGUAGCUUAGGAUGCUGGCAUAAUGGCCUUAAGCGACCCGUCUUGAGACACGG
rnacentral:rRNA from 1 species